GACGAACGCUGGCGGCGUGCCUAAUACAUGCAAGUCGAGCGGGCCUCCGGAGGUGCUUGCACCUCCGGAAGGCCAGCGGCGGACGGGUGAGUAACACGUGGGCAACCUGCCUUUGAGGCCGGGAUAACACCGGGAAACCGGUGCUAAUACCGGAUACGUCCUCUUUCGCGCCUGCGAGAGGGGAGAAAGACGGUCUUUAAGGCCGUCGCUCAAAGAGGGGCCCGCGGCGCAUUAGCUGGUUGGUGGGGUAAGGGCCUACCAAGGCGACGAUGCGUUGCCGACCUGAGAGGGUGAUCGGCCACACUGGGACUGAGACACGGCCCAGACUCCUGCGGGAGGCAGCAGUAGGGAAUCAUCCGCAAUGGGCGAAAGCCUGAAGGUGCAACGCCGCGUGAGUGAGGAGGGUUUUCGGAUCGUAAAGCUCUGUUGUGAGGGAAGAACAGCUUCCGGAGGAAAUGCCGGAGGUUUGCCGGUACCUCACCAGAAAGCCCCGGCUAACUACGUGCCAGCAGCCGCGGUAA
rnacentral:rRNA from 1 species